rnacentral:rRNA from 1 species
AAAAGUGAAAGACGGUCUUGCUGUCACUUAUAGAUGGAUCCGCGCUGCAUUAGCUAGUUGGUAAGGUAACGGCUUACCAAGGCAACGAUGCAUAGCCGACCUGAGAGGGUGAUCGGCCACACUGGAACUGAGACACGGUCCAGACUCCUACGGGAGGCAGCAGUAGGGAAUCUUCCGCAAUGGGCGAAAGCCUGACGGAGCAACGCCGCGUGAGUGAUGAAGGUCUUCGGAUCGUAAAACUCUGUUAUUAGGGAAGAACAUAUGUGUAAGUAACUGUGCACAUCUUGACGGUACCUAAUCAGAAAGCCACGGCUAACUACGUGCCAGCAGCCGCGGUAAUACGUAGGUGGCAAGCGUUAUCCGGAAUUAUUGGGCGUAAAGCGCGCGUAGGCGGUUUUUUAAGUCUGAUGUGAAAGCCCACGGCUCAACCGUGGAGGGUCAUUGGAAACUGGAAAACUUGAGUGCAGAAGAGGAAAGUGGAAUUCCAUGUGUAGCGGUGAAAUGCGCAGAGAUAUGGAGGAACACCAGUGGCGAAGGCGACUUUCUGGUCUGUAACUGACGCUGAUGUGCGAAAGCGUGGGGAUCAAA